UACGGGGGGGGUAAGCGUUGUUCGGAAUUACUGGGCGUAAAGGGCUCGUAGGCGGCCAACUAAGUCGGAUGUGAAAUCCCCAGGCUUAACCUGGGAACUGCAUCCGAUACUGGAUGGCUUGAAUUCGGGAGAGGGAUGCAGAAUUCCAGGUGUAGCGGUGAAAUGCGUAGAUAUCUGGAGGAAUACCGGUGGCGAAGGCGACAUCCUGGACCGACAUUGACGCUGAUGAGCGAAAGCUAGGGGAGCAAACGGG
rnacentral:rRNA from 1 species